UACAGAGGGUGCGAGCGUUAAUCGGAAUUACUGGGCGUAAAGGGUGCGUAGGUGGUUUGAUAAGUUAGGUGUGAAAGUCCUGGGCUUAACCUGGGGAUUGCGCUUAAGACUGUUGAGCUAGAGUACUGUAGAGGAAGGUGGAAUUUCUGGUGUAGCAGUGAAAUGCGUAGAUAUCAGAAGGAACAUCAGUGGCGAAGGCGACUUUCUGGACAGAUACUGACACUGAGGCACGAAAGCGUGGGGAGCAAACAGG
rnacentral:rRNA from 1 species